CUCAUCAAGAGCAGUGGAGGGACUGGCCCUGUGAAGCUGCGGCAACCAUUGAUUGUAUAUCAAAACGGUGCUAAUUCCUGAUGGCGUUAUGCCAUAAGAUGAGA
rnacentral:ncRNA from 1 species